AGCUUUAUGUAAUUAAAUAAAGUAACUCCUGCUCAGUGAAUAUUAACAGCCGCAGAAUUAUAAUACUGUGCUAAGGUAGCAUAAUCACUUGUCUUCUAAUUAAAGAAUUGAAUGAACGGAAAAACGAAUUUAAGCCUGUUUCAUUUUUUUUUAAUAAAAUUACCAAAAAGUAAAAACACUUUUUUUUAAAAAAAAGACGAUAAGACCCUAAAGAACUUAACUAAAGUUAAGCUGGGGCGGCUUUUUAAAAAUAUCUUAUAUUUUAUUUUUAACUCCUUUCUAAAUUCUUCAAUGUUACCUUAGGGAUAACAGCAUAAUCUAAUUUUAUAGCUCUUAUUCAUAAUUAAGAUUAUGACCUCGAUGUUGAAUUAAAAAUCUCUCAAAUGAAAAAGAUUGAAAAGAAAGUCUGUUCGACUUUUAAUUAUUUACA
rnacentral:rRNA from 1 species